GGGGGUGCACUGGUUUCGACGGGUUUGGAAGUCGAUUUUAAGGAGCACGUCCGGGAUGGAAACGUGACCCGGUUAUAAACGCGUUUCAAAUUGUAUAAUCGGCAACGAUUCAUACGCUCUCGCCGCUUAAUAUAAGCGACCGGUGAUCGAUCUGCUGCUACGGCCGUUCGAGAACUGUAUUAUCCUGUAGCUUACUGAAGAGCUUAUCCACCUGUUGAGCUCCAAGGACAUUCAAUCAGGUUGCGACUCUUGAUCAAUGGCCGUGCGGGUCAGGAGUAAGAGGAACAUAACGGUACUAAGCGUGUAGCAGCCUUUGUUUGCCCAGGUUCGGACGCGGGUUCGAUUCCCGCCACCUCCACUU
rnacentral:tmRNA from 1 species